rnacentral:rRNA from 1 species
GAUGAACGCUGGCGGCGUGCCUAAUACAUGCAAGUCGAGCGAACAGACGAGGAGCUUGCUCCUCUGACGUUAGCGGCGGACGGGUGAGUAACACGUGGAUAACCUACCUAUAAGACUGGGAUAACUUCGGGAAACCGGAGCUAAUACCGGAUAAUAUAUUGAACCGCAUGGUUCAAUAGUGAAAGACGGUUUUGCUGUCACUUAUAGAUGGAUCCGCGCCGCAUUAGCUAGUUGGUAAGGUAACGGCUUACCAAGGCGACGAUGCGUAGCCGACCUGAGAGGGUGAUCGGCCACCCUGGAACUGAGACACGGUCCAGACUCCUACGGGAGGCAGCAGUAGGGAAUCUUCCGCAAUGGGCGAAAGCUUGACGGAGCAACGCCGCGUGAGUGAUGAGGGUCUUCGGAUCGUAAAACUCUGUUAUUAGGGAAGAACAAAUGUGUAAGUAACUAUGCACGUCUUGACGGUACCUAAUCAGAAAGCCACGGCUAACUACGUG